UGAUGUUGUGCCCACGCUGCAGCGCAGUCUUCGACAGGAAGGCAGCAACCAACCUGGAAGCGGUGGAUAAGACCAAAAGGAAAGAGAGUUGGGGAACAGUGAGAUACGACCCAAGGAGAAGUAAUCACCACCAGUGAAGGCACGGAGAGAGACGCCAGAACACCUAUAAACCAUCUGACAAAGUCACAGACGACAAAUGGGUUCAACCCAUUAGGGACGCCCAGGGGCAGAAGAAAUGGGGAAAGUUCGAGGUUCAGAGAGGCGCGUCGAUGGAGGGCAAGAAGGAAAUGGAAAAACACAAGCCAAGGCCAUACCCGUCAGAGAAUUACAAAGGCAAAAAUCCCAUGUCCAGGUCCCAAUGGAGGAGGUUCCAACGGCAAAAGAGGGCAGAAAUGGAGAUGGCGAGAAAGAACAUGAAUGGUCCAAACGAAGCAGAAUCUAGCAACAAUCGUCAGACAAGGAGCAGGAAAGAGACUCCCCUCCAGAUCAAUCCUAGCAGAGUUGUCGAAUCAGUGGCGUCGAA
rnacentral:lncRNA from 1 species